UUUCCGUAGGUGAACCUGCGGAAGGAUCAUUAGAGAAUUUUGGUCAGCUGAAAAGCUUUCCUAUAAUACUUUAUUCCAUAAACACCUGUGCACCUUUUUUUAAAUGAGUUUGUUAUUAGGAAGACGUUGUUUGUGAUUAAUAGCUCGGUCUAACCGGCGAACAUCCACUCUGCGUCUCCCUGAUGAUGAGCUUUUUUACCUACAAACAUAUUAGUCUUUGAAUGUAAAAUAAAUUGUAACAAAAUACAACUUUCAACAACGGAUCUCUUGGCUCUCGCAUCGAUGAAGAACGCAGC
rnacentral:misc_RNA from 1 species